CCCUUAGAUGUUCUGGGCCGCACGCGCGCUACACUGAUUCAUUCAUCAAGUCUAUAACCUUGGUAGAAAUGCUUGGGUAAUCUUUGAAACUGAAUCGUGCUGGGGAUUGGAGCUUGUAAUUAUUCUCCAUGAACGAGGAAUUCCUAGUAAACGCGAGUCAUCAGCUCGCGUUGAUUACGUCCCUGCCCUUUGUACACACCGCCCGUCGCUCCUACCGAUUGAAUGUUCCGGUGAAUACUUCGGACUGCGAGGUUUGCAGUUUCUGCACUCCUUGCGGAAAGUUGAAUAAACCUUAACAUUUAGAGGAAGGAGAAGUCGUAACA
rnacentral:rRNA from 1 species